AGAUUGAACGCUGGCGGCAUGCCUUACACAUGCAAGUCGAACGGCAGCACGGGAGCAAUCCUGGUGGCGAGUGGCGAACGGGUGAGUAAUAUAUCGGAACGUGCCCAGUCGUGGGGGAUAACGUAGAGAAAUUUACGCUAAUACCGCAUACGAUCCAAGGAUGAAAGCGGGGGACCGUAAGGCCUCGCGCGACUGGAGCGGCUGAUAUCAGAUUAGCUUGUUGGUGAGGUAAAAGCUCACCAAGGCGACGAUCUGUAGCUGGUA
rnacentral:rRNA from 1 species